CUGUGUUGAUGUUGUGUAUACUCAGGUGAAUAUGAUGUUUGUGAUGUUACUCUGAUGUUACUCUGACUUACCAUCACAAACAUCAUAUUCACCUGAGUACACAACACCAACA
rnacentral:miRNA from 1 species